GACGAACGCUGGCGGCGUGCUUAACACAUGCAAGUCGAACGGAAAGGCCCUGCUUUUGUGGGGUGCUCGAGUGGCGAACGGGUGAGUAACACGUGAGUAACCUGCCCUUGACUUUGGGAUAACUUCAGGAAACUGGGGCUAAUACCGGAUAGGAGCUCCUGCUGCAUGGUGGUGGUUGGAAAGUUUCGGCGGUUGGGGAUGGACUCGCGGCUUAUCAGCUUGUUGGUGGGGUAGUGGCUUACCAAGGCUUUGACGGGUAGCCGGCCUGAGAGGGUGACCGGCCACAUUGGGACUGAGAUACGGCGCAGACUCCUACGGGAGGCAGCAGGGGGGAAUAUUGCACAAUGGGCGGAAGCCUGAUGCAGCAACGCCGCGUGCGGGAUGACGGCCUUCGGGUUGUAAACCGCUUUCGCCUGUGACGAAGAGUGAGUGACGGUAAUGGGUAAAGAAGCACCGGCUAACUACGUG
rnacentral:rRNA from 1 species